ACUUGCUUCGGCAAGUGCGUAUAUCAAAAAUUGGAACAACGCAGAGAAGAUUAGCAUGGUCCCUGCGCAAGGAUGACACGCAAAAUCGUGAAGCAUCAUCAAUUUUU